rnacentral:lncRNA from 1 species
UCAGCUGUCUCCUCCGGAGGGGGCGGGGGCAGGAGGGGCAACAGCCGCCAGCGCAGGCCUGUGUCCCUAGAGGUGCGUGGGGUUCUCCAGAGAAGGGUCCGUCUUAGUCAUGUGCAAGACCACGGUGGGGGCCUUGUAGUGGCAGUGGGUGCCACGGCCAUAGCCCCCGGAAGCCCGGCAGGCCUUUGCCCGGGCCCGGCCGGCUGCCAUCUUGCGGUGGCACAAGCUCUGCCAGGUCUGGAAAGUCUUGGAGCUCCAAACCCAGACGCCGCUGGUGAUCCCCACCACCAGCGACAUGAAGAUCUUAAGCAUAAAGACGGCCACGGUGGGCACCGAGCCCCCCGGGAGCGAGCAGUCCCUCCGGCCCCCGGGCACCGUGGCUGCCAGGCAGGGCUGCUCUGUGGCCCGAAGGCGCCAGAAGUCCAUGUUGAGGCGUUCAUAGACGUAGCACACAAUGACGCAGGUGGCAGGCACCGUGUAGAGGAUGGAGAAGACCCCGAUCUUGACCAUGAGCUUCUCCAGCUUCUCCGUGUUGGUGCCACCUGUCUUCAUGAUCUUGCGGAUGUGGAAGAGGGCCACGAAGCCGGUCAGGAGGAAGCUGGUGCCCAGCACCAGGUAGCAGGAGAGGGGCACCAGCACGAAGCCCGUGAGCGCGGCCGCAUCCAUGCUGGCCACAUAGCACAGCCCGGUCAGCUCGUCCCCCGCCACCUUGCGCAGCGUCAGGAUCACGAUGGUCUUGAGGGCCGGCAGGCCCCAGGCCGCCAUGUGGAAGUAGCUGCCGUGGGCCUCUAUGGCCUCGUGGCCCCACUUCUUGCCCGCCGCCAGGAACCAGGUGAGGGUCAGCACCACCCACCACAGCGAGCUGGCCAUGCCGAAGUAGUAGAGCAACAGGAAGACCAGGGUGCAGCCCGUGUUCUCCAGCCCCUCCUGGAUCACGUAGAGCGCGCCCGCCUCCUGGUCGCAGGCCACGCUCUGGGCGCCCGCCACGGCGCGGAUGAGGAAGGCCAGCGAGUAGACGUUGUAGCACAUGGACAGGAAGAUGAUGGGGCGCUCGGGGUACUGGAAGCGGUGGGGCUCCAGCAGGAAGGUGAGCACUGUGAAGGCCGUGGAGAAGAAGCACAGCGCCGACCACACGGCCAUCCAGACGAGCGCGAAGUCCUUGUCGCGCCGCGACCAGAACACCUCGACGCCGGGCCCGCAGCGCGGCGCGCACGAGCGGCUCUUCUCCACGUACUGGAACUUCUCUGGGUUCUCGCAGGUGCCGCCCCCGCCGCCGCCGCCCGGGCCCGAGGCAGGGUCGCCGGGCGGCCGCGCGGGCCGGGGCGCCACGGGCAGCAUGCCCAGGCCCUUGUGCGGCUCGGCGGGGCCGGCCGUGGCGUUCUCGGGCGCCUCCAUGCAGAGCGCGUGCGGGUCGUUGCGCGUGGGCAGCCGGGCGCAGUCGAGCGACUCGGGCCAGCCGAAGUUGAACUGCUCCAUGAUGGGCGCGCAGCGCAGGCGCGCCUGCUCGCACAUGGGCCGGCAGGCGGGGAUGGGCGUCGAGACCUGGUCGGUGCACAUGGGCGCGUACAGCGAGCACAGGAAGAAGCGCAGGUGGCUGUGGCAGCCGUACUGCACGAGCGGCGCGAACUCGGCCAGCUCCGCGGCCGCCUCACCCUGCGACGUGUGGCCCAGCAGGUUGGGCAUGCGGGUCAGGUUGUAGCCGAUGCCGCGGCACAUGGGGAUCUCCACCGCCUGGCAGGGCGCCGGCCCGCGCCCGCGCUCCGGGUCGAAACGGCCGAUCUCCAGCGCCGCGCCGCCCGCCGCCAGCAGCUGCCACAGCAGCAGCGCCCGGCGCAGCGGCGGCACGGCCAUCCCGGGCGGCCCCGGCCGGGGGCGGGGGCGGCGGCGGCGGCGGCGGCGGCGGCGGCGGCGGCGGCGGGGGGGCGGCUCACUCGGGCCGCGCCGUCCGGCGCCCCCGUGCCCGCCCGCCACGUCGCGGGGCGCGGGCCAUCGCCGAGCCGCCCGCGUGCGUCCGGGCGCCCCGGCAGCGCGCAGGGAAGCCGCCCGGGGCAGAGGAGGCGCCGAGCCCGCCGAGCCGCCACCACCGCUGCCACCCGAGCGGCCGCGGAGCCAGAGCGGGCGCCGCCUCCCGGGGCCGCCGCUACAAGCCUCGGGGCGGGGCGCUGGGCGGACACGCCCAGGGGCGGCCCCUCCGCGCGCCGGGCGCGCCCCCCGCCGGCCUUUAAAGGCGCCGCGUCUCCCCGCCGCGCCGCGCCGCGCCGCGGCCCCCGCGUGGGCGCGAUCGUGCGGCGCGGGGCGCGGGUGCGCUCGGUGCUGCCCCGCUCUCCCCGACGGGACAGCGGGAGGUUUCCCUGCCCUCCCUCCCGGGUCGCCCCUUUUGCCCCAGGCGCAGACCAUCUCCGAGGCCUCCACGCGGUGGGAAGCCUCGGCUUUGUACCCAGGGACAGUGCAGGUUGCAGCCAGCGACUUCGCCAGUUGUGUGUGUCUUUGGGCUCUUUCUCCGCAGCCUCCUUUUCUGCAAAACAGGCAAAUAAUCCCGUGAAACAAGCAACUCAUUUGUUGUAUGAGUUUGGCUUUCCCGUCCACACUGCACGCAUGACUUUCUCCGCAAUCCAGGUGGGGAACCCGGGCCUCGAACUCACAGCCCCGAGGUCAAGGGUCUCUUGCUUGAUGGACUGA